AAGCGUUAUCCGGAAUUAUUGGGCGUAAAGAGCUCGUAGGCGGUUUGUCGCGUCUGCCGAGAAAGUCCGGGGCUCAACUCCGGAUCUGCGGUGGGUACGGGCAGACUAGAGUGAUGUAGGGGAGACUGGAAUUCCUGGUGUAGCGGUGAAAUGCGCAGAUAUCAGGAGGAACACCGAUGGCGAAGGCAGGUCUCUGGGCAUUAACUGACGCUGAGGAGCGAAAGCAUGGGGAGCGAACAGG
rnacentral:rRNA from 1 species